rnacentral:lncRNA from 1 species
UCCUCUCUAGUCUCCCUCCACUCUUCCCUGCUGGGGUCUGUGCAAUAGGACCCAGGAAGGGCUCAGCUGUUUGCAUUGCCAAACAGAGCCCUGGAUUCCAAAGCAGGCAGUCUGUGGUCCCAUUUGGAGAAACACUGAUCCUGCCUGGCUCACUGGUUUUAGUGCCCUUUAAAACGGAUGCAAACCAACCCGGUAUGCUGUUUCACCCUAGUUCCUGCCACCUCAAGAAGAAAUAUUAAUAAAUAAGGAAAAAUUAAUAGUGUGCAUUAGAAAUUCUGUUUGUAUUCUAAGCCCUACUUGACAGAGAAACAACG